GAUGAACGCUGGCGGCGUGCCUAAUACAUGCAAGUCGAGCGAACGGACGAGAAGCUUGCUUCUCUGAUGUUAGCGGCGGACGGGUGAGUAACACGUGGAUAACCUACCUAUAAGACUGGGAUAACUUCGGGAAACCGGAGCUAAUACCGGAUAAUAUUUUGAACCGCAUGGUUCAAAAGUGAAAGACGGUCUUGCUGUCACUUAUAGAUGGAUCCGCGCUGCAUUAGCUAGUUGGUAAGGUAACGGCUUACCAAGGCAACGAUGCAUAGCCGACCUGAGAGGGUGAUCGGCCACACUGGAACUGAGACACGGUCCAGACUCCUACGGGAGGCAGCAGUAGGGAAUCUUCCGCAAUGGGCGAAAGCCUGACGGAGCAACGCCGCAUGAGUGAUGAAGGUCUUCGGAUCGUAAAACUCUGCUAUUAGGGAAGAACAUAUGUGUAAGUAACUGUGCACAUCUUGACGGUACCUAAUCAGAAAGCCACGGCUAACUACGUG
rnacentral:rRNA from 1 species